UUCAGGUUCGCGCUGUCGCAGAGCGUAAUCCCAGGUUUCUACAUAAACCCACGCUCCUUAAACCCUGAUUUUACAGCAACAUUGCCCCCAGCUCUCUGAAUCUUCUCGGGGGAAGAAGGGAAAUGAAUCGCCGAGCUGCGGAGGCGCUGGUUUCGGUUCGUGACGGGUCGAGCUUGUCCAGGUUCUUUGGGUUCUCCGAUUCUUCUGCAUUGCUUGCUUUGGUCACCAUUUCCUGUGCAUUUCAUUCUUUUUCCCUUCUGGGUUUUUUGAAUGAUGAUGCAUUUAAUUUCAAAUUUCUCUUUUUUAUUUAUGCCCGGAAAAUUGGCGGGUAAGAAGAGCAAAGUGGUUUCCUCAAGCCCACGACUUUGCAUUCGGUUCGCACGAUGUGUCGUCGAUUUGAGACUCAACACAUUCGCCCGCCAUAGCUUUUUUUAAAAAUGAAUUGUGCUUCUUUGACCACUAUGGCAAUGGAGAAUUCGAAGGUGUGGGUGACUCAGUGGGAUUUCUGAGGUACGUAGACUCGUUUACGGCUAGUUGUGUAACUGUCGUACGACAAUUUUAAGAUUGUGUUACGAGGUUCUUGUGCUUAAUAAGGGACCUAGUAAUUUUGUACGGUUCACGCCAUAUACGGUAGAAGUGCCUGGGAUUCCGUAGCUUCUUUGAUGAAAAAAUAGAGCUUUGGUGUAGAUUAUGGACUAUGGACUAUGGACUAAUCAGGGAUGGCAUGGUAUGGCCUCGCUAUGCUGAGCAAAAUCUGAGAUCGAUUGGGUCAAAUAGUUGGAAUUAAUGAACUCAUAGCUUGAAAGUUGUUCGUGUUCCAAACUUCUUUUUGGCAAGUGGUUAGUUUCUUAUGAUGGCUUCGGGGGCAACCAGCGUCUCAUUCGUGUUUUUUUGUUCAUUUAUUAUCAUAAGAGAGUGACUCUUUUCUUCCUUAAAACUCCAUCAGGAGUCCAUCGUUAAGCUGCGUGCUCUGGUUCUCUUCGAUCCAGGUGAGCCUGAACUCCGUCAAGGCCAGUGAGCUCGCGGCUCGCCAGAUCCAAGCGAGCCCAAGCUUGGCCAAGGCCGCGAGCCUGAGCUCCGCCGAGGCCAGCGAGCUUGCGGCUCGCCUGAGGCCAACGAGCUCAGGAUCGGCGACGAAGAUGGCAGCAUGAUGGCGGGGUAGGCGGUGGCUGCAAUUGGUUGGGAUUGGAAAGGAAAUGGGGUGCUCUGCUCAUCCAAAGAUUUGCAAUCGAUGGAAGGAAGAGAGAAUUGAGGAGGCAGAGAAGGAAGGGCAUGGGUUCAAACUCUACUAAUGUAUGAUCCAUAGGGAUAUCAAAUCCAGUAAUACCAUGCUCGAUGAAAAGUUUGUGGCCAAAUUGGGAGAUUUUGGCUUGGCUAGGCUAGUUGACCAUGCCAAUGGUGAAAAACAACCCAAGUGAUAGGAACACACGGUUACACGGCUCCGGAAUACCAUCAGACAAGUGAGGCAAGUAUGGAAUUUGACAUCUACUGUUUUGGAGCGGUCCUUCUAAAAAUAGUAUGUGGGAGAAGAGUCUUCGACUCAGAAUUAGCGGAGCAAAGCCAAGGCCUUGUACAGUUGGUUUGGAAGCGUUAUGGAUGCAGGAGCUGGAGUGGGCGCUGGCGCUGGCGCAGGAAUUUUCUCCGUGCGAUGGACAAGAGGCUCGGCAAGGAUUUCGACAAGUGACAGGCGGAGUUCUUGAUGAUUGCGGCUGUGGUGUGCUCAUCCCGAUGCUAGGUAUCGGCCUUCGAUUGAAGAGGCAAUAGCCAUUUUGAACUUGAAGGCAGAGCCUCCUAAACUCCCCUCGAAGAUGCCAAGUUUCAACAUAUAAUUGAGCCAAAGUCUCGUCUCGUCUAGAUGCAUUUGGCUUUCGGCAAAUGCCUCGCUCUGAAAAGAAAUAAGUGUUGUCUAUUUAAGUGUGAUGUAUAUGAAAAUCAUCGAGCUAGAGGUAAUUACUGAAAAGCUGUUGUACUCGCCUUUGUCACCCAUUACUGGUAGUAUGGUGUACGGUACUUAAAAAAUUUAUUUAUGUUAGAUCAUGUCAAAAAGCUUCAUUUCAA